rnacentral:rRNA from 1 species
UACGGAGGGUGCAAGCGUUAUCCGGAUUCACUGGGCGUAAAGGGUGCGUAGGCGGGUCUUUAAGUCAGGGGUGAAAUCCUGGAGCUCAACUCCAGAACUGCCUUUGAUACUGAAGAUCUUGAGUUCGGGAGAGGUGAGUGGAACUGCGAGUGUAGAGGUGAAAUUCGUAGAUAUUCGCAAGAACACCAGUGGCGAAGGCGGCUCACUGGCCCGAUACUGACGCUGAGGCACGAAAGCGUGGGGAGCAAACAGG